GUUUGUAUGAUAUAUUAUUUCAAUAUUUCUUUUGAAUUGUCAUGAACAUUCUCAAUGUUUCUUUCGCUUUGUUUCUUUUUAGGUAGAACAGUUAUUUUCAAUAGGCGGUAAAAAUUUAGUUGAUACAAAUUAAAAAAUUUUGCUCUUACUGACAACAGACACCUUUUUCAGAAUGCAGCAUGAUUGGUCUAAAGAAGAAAAAAAAGUUUAAAAAGUCUAUGUAUUGCUUUCACUGAUGCUGCUUCAAAGUCAAAUAAAAGCUUAACCAAAAUGGAUCUCAUGCAACUUAUUGGAAGAUUAAUUAGGCAUUCUUCUGACUGAUUCAAGAGAAAAUCUACCAAUAUCGAUAUUGAUCGAUGAUGGCUUAUUUAAGUUCAAUCAACUGUUGUGUUUUUUAUUUAUUUUGCAUUUUCCAGUAAUUUUCUUUUUACUUAUAAUAUACUAUCGAUUAUACUCUACAAAACAUAUUAGUUUUUAACUUGGAAAG